AUACCUGGCUGUUGCCAGGUAGCCAUGGGGGUGGAGCUGAGACAGAAUACCAAUAGUAAACCUAGCCUUCCUUUACUUUUAUGUCUGCCUAGUGAGAUGAAGGGGAAGGAGGCUUCGUUCUCCAAUUUCACAGAAGGGAAACUGAGGCACCGGGAAUAGGGUUUUCCUGAGAGCACAUAUCUCACUGCAGACCGGUCAGGACCGAACCCAGGGCUGUGCCAGGCAUAUAUAUCAUCUUUUUUUUUCUAGUUUUGUGUUUUUAUCGGGGUUUAUCAUGGGCAGGAGCUGCCACCUUAAGGAACACUUAUGCUGCUAGUAGCCAUCUCUUCAAGAUCACUGUCCUAUAUCAUCUUCCUGGACUGCAUGUGCUUCCGCUCCAGAGCGCCUCACCUCUCCGUGGGCCUCCUACAAAGUAACACAGUCUUCCGGCAAAUACCAUGAAGAAGAACAGAGGACUGUGCAGCUCUGGAGAUGAGUCUCAGAAUGGCUCUGCUGUCAGUCAUUUACCCUGUAGCGGAACUUGAAACGACUUCAGAUAUCUGGAUCCCCCUCUCGGUUCGAGGCUCUGAGAGGGACAGUGGCCACAAGGUAUACCCAUCAGUAUGGAGAAAGCUGAGAAAGGCCUUGCCACAGGCCUGAGUCGUGGCCUCCCUGGCUCUGAUGCCUGCUUCUAGUACAUCUCACGGGACGGGUGAGACAUCAAUGUGUCCCAUCUGCUGGAAAAGCAACUACCAGAGAAUCCUGCCAGGUCUCUCUUCAGUGUCCGUGGGCCUAGGCAGGGUGGGGCCCCAGGAAGAGAAAGAUUCACAGCUCUGUGUUGAUAUUCGGGGUUUGGGGGGCGGCAGGAGAGGGAGAGGGGAGCAGCUAUCAAGACACCUGACAACUGAGGGACUGAGGGAAGCUCUGGGUCACAACAAACUCAGAAUCCAGAACCAUAUGUGGCUCUCUAGGUUGGUCACUCUUGGGAACCUAAAGGGGAACUUCUUGAGGGGCCUUAAAACAGUGAGAGCGGCUACAACCACCACCAACCUGCAGGCUAUGCCUCCCAGAGCAGUCACAACCAAGAGCUCUCUGUGGUUCCUGCCUGGAAAACAGGAGUAGCAGCAGUAAAUGUCCUUUCCAGCUGUGAACUCAGAGUGCUAAGGAUGCUUGCUCUCUGAGAGACACCCAGGGAGCUGAGGGGAUGGUCAACAGCCUCCAAGUCACUUGCCACUGAGACUGCAAGACACCUGGGGUCCUGGAAGCCACAAGCCACCUGCAGAGCCUUCCCAAGAUGCCUUCCCCUGGGACAGGACUUAGUGAACAAGCGGCCAUGUCUAGAGGCUCUCAGGGGACCUGGGAACAUUUCUGAAAGGCAUAAGCCAAUUCCAUUCAAGUGUGCUUAAGGCUUUGAGACAUUCCAAGCUGGUCCCCAGGGCUCUCUUGUCAACAGUUAGCCGGCACAUGGUCUCAGCUGGCUCACCUAGGUAAUGAUGGUAAAAGACAAGAUGGUGGAGCCUCAGCCCCGCUCUGUAGACCUAUUCUCAACCAGGUCCAACUCUGGGAAGGGGUCAGCCACCAGGUCAGGGGUUGAGGAUGCUGGUUCAGGAGCAUGCAUCACAGAAACUAGAGGCCACUGCUGCAAGCUCAGAAAGGUGUCCUGGGUGAGGUCAGAGAAACCGGUCAGAUUCUGAAUGACUGUGGCAGCCAAGUCAGCCGGAUGUCAUGACAAGUGGGUCAGAAAGAGCAAGCCAGGUUGACUCCCAGGCCUGUGGCUUGAGCAGUGUACAUCUGACUCUCUGUGUAACUCAAGUUACUUAAGCCUGCAUUGAUUUGUUUUAGUGUGAGUUAAUAUAUGGACAUCAAUUAGAACAUUAAUUAGAGCCAAGUAGGUACUCAAUAAACAGACUGUUGUUAACCUCGUUGUUAGGAGGAAGCCACAGAUGGAUGGAUGGAUGG